rnacentral:lncRNA from 1 species
AAAAAAUAAACUAUAGAUUAUGUAGUUGUUGAAGUAAACAUUAAUAACAUCUAAUUGUAAUUCAAAGAUGAUCAACUGAGGCAUAAUUUACCAUUUAGAGUAUUACAUACUGUUAAAACAUAAUGGGAGAACAACUUGUAUUGAGAAUGAUCCACAAGGAAAGAGAAUGGCAAAACUCUCAAGUUCACCAAGACUCGUCUGCUAGUCUCAUGGUUAGGAUUUCAAUCUCACAAUUACCAUUUCACAUAUUUGAAUCUCCAUGAGCACUAGCAACAACCAUUGAUGCACAAGUUUUCAAAUGCUUGAAGAAGACAUGUGCUUGUUCUUCUAUCCUCCAAAAAUUUCAAAUUCAUGAAUUAGUCAACUAUAGGAAGCUUUCGGAUGAAACCGGGCCCAUAUCCUAAAAUUCAAAACAGAGGCAAUAAAAUAAUAAGAGAGAGCAUAGGGGAGUUGAAUUACCAAGAGACAAAUGUGUAAUUAAGUAUUUGCUUAGAUGCAUUUACUGUUUUAUAUUUUUAAAAGGAGAAAAUAGCUUGUUUAUAUAAAAUACAAAAAAAAUUAAAGACUUACAUUCACAUGAUAAUAGUUUUAAAAAUUGUUUAAAAUUUUGAAGUAUUAAAAAUGUUUUCUUACCUCAAAUUUUAAAAUUUUUUGAUGUAAUUUUAAAAAAAAUAAAAGGUAAGUCUACUUUUUGUACAAGAGUUUCUACUUUUUAUAUAGAAAUAAUUCUUAUUUUUGUUUUUUUCUCUCUUAAAAGUAUAUCUAAACAAGAUCAAAGACUGCAUUAAAACUUCAUCUUGUCAUAAUGAAUAUACCGUCUAAAGUAAGCCACUAAAUAAUAUGAAUCCUUUGCUCUUUACCACCUCAUUGUAGAUUGAAAUUUCAAAUUUGUGCUCGAUUCCAAGGCUUUUGAGAAGGAUUCCUCACUCCCAAGAGUACUUUAGAAGAUGAAUCCCUAUGUUAAUUGCAAAAAAACAUCUAGUGAGUAAUAAUGUGAAUUCAUCCUAUUCUUAAGACAAACUUUGUCACAAGUAUCUAUAGUACGAAUGCUCACAAAUUAUCAAACUUACAAUUAUUCAUGUGAAGGAAAAUCCACCCAAAGUAUCCUGAUUUCUCAAAAACAGAGUCAAUUAGGAAUAUGACCUGGUUGUAGGAGCUUCCUAUAGAGCAGAUAAUAUUCAAAAUAAUUGUCAUUUUUAAAGAUUAAGCUUGAUCCACAGCACAAAAUAUUAAAAUUAUAACUAUUCCAUAUAUGGAAAGAAAACAUCUCAAAAGCAAACUUAGAAGAUAAAAAUAGAUAUAAAAUAAAUUUUUGCAUAGAAUUGAAUAAUUUUUUUCAUAGACUCUAAAAAGUAGAUAAGACAAAAAUAAAUUUCACUUAAAGGACACACUUCUAGAAUUCUAAAAGAGCAUAUAGUAUUUUCAUAUUAGACUUGUUAUUCACCCAAUUGAAUAUGACAAGAAAACAAGCAGAAUAUAGUAAUAGUUACCUACCUCAGCUAGAGCUUAUUACAAGCUUUGACCGUUUCACUUUGGGACAGUGAGGUUGUAGUUCUAACUCAUUGAGCUCCUUUGUUAAGACCACCUGCCCAUACCAAAUUAACGAAAGGGAAAAAAAGAAAUAACUUAAAAUCCUUUUUUUUUUUUUUGGGUUUGCGUGUGUCGUAAGGGUGUAAUUCACCAUAAAACAUCUUGUAAAAACUGAAGAAACCUUAUAUGUAAUACAUGACCCGAACUUGCUAAGAAUAUUGUCACUAUCAUUGUCCUAUCAAUUCAGUUUGUGAUGUACUAGCUCAAUUGCCUGUUAGAAUGAUUCAAGUAAUGAAUAACUUUCCAUUAGUAUUUGGUAAAAUAGAAUAAAUACCAUCAAAAUAUUCAAAUAUGCUCACAGUUCAUCAUAGUGUGAGAGUUGAUUGCAUUUCUUUCAUUCCAUAAGAAUCUCCACUUUUUAGUCCUACUAUGAUGGGGAAAUUAAAUUAGGUUAUACUUACCAAUCAAAAAAAUCAGAAAAACUAGUUUCAAAUUUAAGGGAGAGGUACAAGAAAAUACUGUUGUCAUAAAAUAGAAUAAAAUAUUAAGAAGCAAAAUCAAAGUUUUGAGGAAAAUGCCAAUUCACUUCCUAUAAAUUUGACAAAUCUUGUUUGAAAAUCUGAAAUGUGUUUAACCUUUUCUAUAUUUUUAAAUAUUUUUUUAAAUAACUUUAAUUUGUAAAUACUUAAUUUUCAAUCAUUCUCCAUAUUUGUAUAAUUAUUUUAAAAACAAUAUUUAGAAAAAAGUUAAAACCACCAAAAACAAUUAAAAUAUAUUCUUGGAAAACACUUUGUUUUUUGUUUUCUGAUUAUCAAACAUGUUAUGACUUUUUUUUUUUUUGUUAAAAAUAGAAAACCAUUUUUGAAAACAACUCCAAACACACCCUAAGGCUCUUUUAGCUUGUUGCCUUGUAUGCAUAAGCAGAAAAAAGGAACAAAAGAUGAGAAACAAGGUGUUCAACUAUAUUUCCUAGUAGUUUCAAAGGUUUGAUGAGAAAUGCUACAUGCUAAAAUGAACCAUAUUACUAGGCAAUUGAAAAGUUUGAGAGAGUGAUACCUCUUGCUUUUUUGUAGUGCAUAUUUCCAAGCAAAGGGAAGAAUAAAUUAGGGAGCAUGCCUGAGUGAUUAAGGUACACAGUAAAAUCAAAUAAGAGGCUUCAUUAGCAUAAUAAGAUGCAAAUUUGGUUUAAAAUCAAACAGAACUCAAGCAAAAUCUUAAUUACCUUGUAUUUAUUAAUGGUGAUGGAAAUAGUAUUCUGGCUUUAAGCAAAAUGAACCACCAGAUGUAAGGCCCCUUGCAUCAUGAAAUUGAAGCAUAUUGAAAACGGAAAAAAGAAAGAAAGAAACAAUGCAACAAGACUUUUAAUAGGUGUAUCAACCAUGUAUCUCUAUGUGAAAUUAUUGCCAUGUGAAGCUGGUGGCAAAUUCGAUUGGGCUUAAAACUCUUUUUGGACCUGAUUUAAAUUUUUUUUUAAAAUUUACAUGGCCUAGAAUGAUGCAUUUAGUACUGCUCUUUCAUGUUUAGGAUAUUUACCUUUGCAGAUGCUAAUAAGCCGCAUCAAUGGCCAUGAAUUUUGCUUUCAUCUACAUCAGUCCCUUUGAUUGCCAUCCUGCAUCUAAAAAGUAAAUUCCAUCAUUAUCAAGAAGCAAAAGCAAUAUUUUGAGUUAGAAAUGGAGAUUGUUUUUUAUAUCAGACUUACAAUUCAAUAGACUAAUAAUCACCUGUGUUUGGAAGAGGAUAGUCCCAAAUACCUUAAAUAGGUUUGUUUGUAAAAAUCUUCCUCUGCACCAUAUCCAACCCAAGAUCUAUAGGCUGACCAACGAAUGUAAUCAUAAGCAGGUUGUUUUUCCAACUCUUUUUGACUGCUUUUCCAUGUUGAUAUGAUUAAAAAGGCAUGGCCCAGUAGCCAUUUUAUUUUAAAAUUAAAAUAGGAAAUAUAAGAUAAAAAAUGAAAAUAGCAUAUGUACCAUGCUUUUCCUAGGCCCUUUCAUCUUCUUUUCACCAUCACCAUAUUAGAGAAUGAACAACCAACACCACAUUCACUUCAGACAUGGAAUCUGCAGGAUGAAACUCAAUAUUCCUUUCUGUUAGCAUAAUAAUGAAAAAGAGUUAUAUGUUUUCAAUGUAAAAGGCAAAAAAAAUAAAAUCAAGAGCAU